GGGGUUGGUGACGGUACCUGCAGAAGAAGCGCCGGCUAACUACGUGCCAGCAGCCGCGGUAAUACGUAGGGCGCAAGCGUUGUCCGGAAUUAUUGGGCGUAAAGAGCUCGUAGGCGGUUUGUCGCGUCUGCCGUGAAAGCCCGGGGCUCAACCCCGGAUCUGCGGUGGGUACGGGCAGACUAGAGUGCAGUAGGGGAGACUGGAAUUCCUGGUGUAGCGGUGAAAUGCGCAGAUAUCAGGAGGAACACCGAUGGCGAAGGCAGGUCUCUGGGCUGUAACUGACGCUGAGGAGCGAAAGCAUGGGGAGCGAACAGGAUUAGAUACCCUGGUAGUCCAUGCCGUAAACGUUGGGCACUAGGUGUGGGGGACAUUCCACGUUUUCCGCGCCGUAGCUAACGCAUAAGUGCUCCGCCUG
rnacentral:rRNA from 1 species